GAUGAACGCUGGCGGCGUGCCUAAUACAUGCAAGUCGAGCGAACAGACGAGGAGCUUGCUCCUCUGACGUUAGCGGCGGACGGGUGAGUAACACGUGGAUAACCUACCUAUAAGACUGGGAUAACUUCGGGAAACCGGAGCUAAUACCGGAUAAUAUAUUGAACAGCAUGGUUCAAUAGUGAAAGACGGUUUUGCUGUCACUUAUAGAUGGAUCCGCGCCGCAUUAGCUAGUUGGUAAGGUAACGGCUUACCAAGGCGACGAUGCGUAGCCGACCUGAGAGGGUGAUCGGCCACACUGGAACUGAGACACGGUCCAGACUCCUACGGGAGGCAGCAGUAGGGAAUCUUCCGCAAAGGGCGAAAGCCUGACGGAGCAACGCCGCGUGAGUGAUGAAGGUCUUCGGAUCGUAAAACUCUGUUAUUAGGGAAGAACAAAUGUGUAAGUAACUAUGCACGUCUUGACGGUACCUAAUCAGAAAGCCACGGCUAACUACGUG
rnacentral:rRNA from 1 species